CAAGACCUGCGCUUUUGGAGCGGCCGAUGCCUGAUUAGCUUGUUGGUAAGGUAAAAGCUUACCAAGGCUUCGAUCAGUAGCUGGUCUGAGAGGACGGCCAGCUACACUGGGACUGAGACACGGCCCAGACUCCUACGGGAGGCAGCAGUGGGGAAUUUUGGACAAUGGGGGCAACCCUGAUCCAGCCAUGCCGCGUGAGUGAAGAAGGCCUUCGGGUUGUAAAGCUCUUUCAGCCGGAACGAAACGGUUACGGUUAAUACCCGUGAUUACUGACGGUACCGGAAGGAGAAGCACCGGCUAACUACGUGCCAGCAGCCGCGGUAAUACGUAGGGUGCGAGCGUUAAUCGGAAUUACUGGGCGUAAAGCGUGCGCAGGUGGUUUUGUAAGUCAGAUGUGAAAGCCCCGGGCUCAACCUGGGAACU
rnacentral:rRNA from 1 species